CUGAACAACCAGAUUGUGAGCUGAGUUAUCCUUUAACGUCUCAGCCAAAACAUGCAGAAUCUCCUGUGGUUACUCAGUGUUGUGUCCUCACUACAAGGUGUCACUGCACAAAUCUCCUUAGUGGAGUCUGGUCCUGGGACUGUGAAACCAACAGAGACUCUGGAACUCGCCUGUAAAGUGACCGGUGCCUCCCUCACUGACAGCACUAACAUGUAUGGUGUGGGCUGGAUCCGCCAACUUGAAGGGAAAGGGCUGGAAUGGAUGGGAACAAUAUACUAUGAUGCAAGCAUAAAUUCUAACCCAUCUGUUCAGGGCCGACUAACUCUGUCCAGAGACACAAAUAAAGGAGAAGUUCAUGUUAAACUCACUGGAGUGAAACCUGAAGAGUCUGGAAAAUAUUAUUGUGCAAGAACUGUGUAUCACAGUGUAACACAGUAA